rnacentral:lncRNA from 1 species
AAAAGAGACCUAGAUUCCACUGUCAAAGAUACUGUACACAUCAACUCCUUACUGGAGUCUACUUUAAGCAGCCACUUGCCAAGAUAGAGAUUUGACCAGGUUACAGAAGAUACUGGGGAUAGAGCUGAGAAAAUAUUCAGGGACUGUCACUUGAAAAGGAGAUUAGUCAGCACAAUUAUAACUUUGCAAUCUAGGUUAUUGUUUUGACACAGGCAUUUUGAUUCUUUUCCCUCCUCCUCCAUCAUAUCAAUAGCCAGGCUCUGAUGGUCAAGCUCUAGAGCCUACCAUUAAAGCUUAGGAUAGUCAGGAAAAAGGGAGGCUAUCAGUAAUGAAUUGAUGCCCUAGCAAUCUCCAAUGGUGCCAAAAAUGAGCUUAUAUUUGGAAAGAAAACUACCUGGGAAAAUACUUUCUACCCUGCCAUAAACCCUGGACACUUAGGAGAAAGAUGGAAGACACUGGGAUCAAAGCAAAUCGAGGAAAAAAUUCAAGUGAAGAGACUGGAAAUUAAGAGAGUCCAUACUGGAUGAUUUUUCAGUAAAGAAUUGCGCAAUACAAAGGGUGAGUAAUGAACAUGGAAAGAUGCAAGGAGACAGCAAUAUGCUAUGUUUUUAAAGAUCAGUCUGCAGCGUAGAAGGAGGCCGGGUGACUGAGCCUCUGAGGUCUCUGGGCCUGUGUUGUCUGGGGAAUUGCAAGAAA